rnacentral:rRNA from 1 species
AACGAACGCUGGCGGCAUGCCUAACACAUGCAAGUCGAACGAUACCUUCGGGUCUAGUGGCGCACGGGUGCGUAACGCGUUGGAACCUGCCCUUAUGUUCGGAAUAACUCCCCGAAAGGGGUGCUAAUACCGGAUAAUGUCUUCGGACCAAAGAUUUAUCGCCUUUGGAUGGGCCCGCGUUGGAUUAGCUAGUUGGUAGGGUAAAAGCCUACCAAGGCGACGAUCCAUAGCUGGUCUGAGAGGAUGAUCAGCCACACUGGGACUGAGACACGGCCCAGACUCCUACGGAAGGCAGCAGUGGGGAAUAUUGGACAAGGGGCGAAAGCCUGAUCCAGCAAUGCCGCGUGAGUGAUGAAGGCCUUAGGGUUGUAAAGCUCUUUUACCCGGGAUGAUAAUGACAGUACCGGGAGAAGAAGCACCGGCUAACUCCGUG